rnacentral:rRNA from 1 species
GACGAACGCUGGCGGCGUGCUUAACACAUGCAAGUCGAACGAUGAAGCCUAGCUUGCUAGGUGGAUUAGUGGCGAACGGGUGAGUAAUACGUGAGUAACCUACCUUUAACUCUGGGAUAAGCCUGGGAAACUGGGUCUAAUACCGGAUACGACCAAUCUCCGCAUGGGGUGUUGGUGGAAAGCGUUAUGUAGUGGUUAUAGAUGGGCUCACGGCCUAUCAGCUUGUUGGUGAGGUAACGGCUCACCAAGGCGACGACGGGUAGCCGGCCUGAGAGGGUGACCGGCCACACUGGGACUGAGACACGGCCCAGACUCCUACGGGAGGCAGCAGCGGGGAAUAUUGCACAAUGGGCGCAAGCCUGAUGCAGCGACGCCGCGUGAGGGAUGACGGCCUUCGGGUUGUAAACCUCUGUUAGCAGGGAAGAAGAGAAAUUGACGGUACCUGCAGAGAAAGCGCCGGCUAACUACGUG